CAAACUGGAAACAAACAUAUUAUAUACACUCAAUGUGUUAAAGAUCUUGCAUAUCCCAGUACUCUUCAAAUGAAUGAAAAAACACAUACUGGUGAGAAACCCUACGAAUAUAAUCAAUGUGGUAAAGCCUUUGAAUUUCAAAGCCAUCUUCAAGAACAUAAAACAAAGCAUACUGGAGAGAAACCCUGCAAAGGUGAAGACUUUCACUGGAGUAGAUGAGAAUCUGACUAUAGGAUUGGAUUAGAGAAGCAGCAAACCCUUUUGUUGAUAAACUCCCUUAAAAGAUCAGAGCAGAAGUAACAACUUUUCUCCAGAGACUGCUACAUUUCUGCAGCAUUUCACCGCUUUCUUGAGUGAAGCAUACAAGUAAGAAUUUGAGCUCUCGCUGAGAAGAAAUGGACAUCUUUGUUAGAAACUCUAAUAGAGCAGAAGAGAAAAUGAAUUGACAGCUCUGCUGAGAAACCCCCUCAGGGAAGUGAGGGACAGCAGCAAUGGACGUCUCUCUUAGGAAACUCUCUUAGCAGUGUGGAGCAGAGUCCAACUGUAAGGGCUCUCUUUUGGAGAGGAGCAGGAUUAAUACCUUUGGCAGGAAGACUGUUUCUCACUGAAGCACAGCAUCAGGUGUAGCCUGACUUCUCAAUAUUCAGGUUACCUUUUCCCUCACAGCAGUAGGCAUCCAGGAUAUCUUCCCUUCAUAGCUCUAGGUAAAAGCUGACUUCUGACAGUUGGGUAUCUUUUCCUCCAGAAUUAUAAAAGUUUGCACUAUUUUCAUUUAUUUAUUUAUUUUUUAUUUGUCGUGACAAGUUUUCUCUGUAAUUUUGGAAGUUGCACUACUGAUUUAAAUAGUAAUGUAACCAUACUAGAUUUUGUACUUCUCUUAAAUUGCAUGAAAUAUCUAAUUCAGGAAUAAAAAAUUAUGUAUUUGUAUUAUUUCCA